AUUGAACGCUGGCGGCAGGCCUAACACAUGCAAGUAGAGCGGAGCGGCGGACGGGUGAGUAAUGCAUAGGAAUCUGCCUGGUAGUGGGGGAUAACGUCCGGCAACGGGCGCUAAUACCGCAUACUAGCCGAUGAACCUAGGAGGGAUUAGCUAGUUGGUGGGGUAAGGGCCUACCAAGGCGACGCUCCGUAACUGGUCUGAGAGGAUUAUCAGUCACACUGGAACUGAGAAACGGUCCAGACUCCGACGGGAGGCAGCAGUUGGGAAUAUUGGACAAUGGGCGAAAGCCUGAUCCAGCCAUGCCGCGUGUGUGAAGAAGGUCUUCGGAUUGUAAAGCACUUUAAGUUGGGAGGCGUUACCAACAGAAUAAGCACCGGCUAACUUCGUGCCAGCAGCCGCGGUAAUAC
rnacentral:rRNA from 1 species